ensembl:lncRNA
CUCCUGCGGGAGACAAGCCAACAGACUGCGAUAUCCUUUUGGAACCUGGCGUCCUCUCCUGCCUCAGACCGGGAGAGAUCACUGCUUUUUCACUGCUGAAAAACUGGAGUCUGCAGCUGGUUUGUCGUUCACAGUCUCUGCUCUCUGAGGAUGAGGACUACACCACCGGCUCAGAGGUCACUGAAGAUGAGGUCGGGGAUGAAGAGGAGGUUUCAAAGAAGCAAGCUGCGAAGAAGGCAAGGAAAGCAAACAGACCACUGAAGAGGCAGGUGUCCUCACCCAGCUUUCAGCGCAAAGAGAAGAGUGCAGAGAAGGCUGCCUCACGAGAUUCCACUCCAUUUACUGUCAGCAUUCAAAAGAGCAAAUGGGACAGCGCCCGAUCCAUGCGGUUCAACCAGGACGCUCAGAGAGAAGACGAUCAGCGGAGGAUGGUGGACAUUAUUGGACAUCUCACAAAGCUGAGGUUUGGUGACUUAGAACAGAGCAAAUCCAAGGACGUGAAAGAGUAUGCAGGAGGGAUAUACUCCAGGCUUGAAGCUCAGUUCAGGAGUGCCUCCCAGGGAAGUGGACGACAUAGUAGCUCAGAGAAGGCUCACAGAGCAAAGUUACGCUUCGGGCAAUCAAGACCAACAUAAGAGCUCCAGUACGUGGACUGGAGAAGAAAACAAGACCCUCAGCAAAGUACAGUCCAGCAGGGCCCUCCAGAACCCCCACCCGACAUCUCUCCUCCUGCUCCCGUUCAGCUCCAGAACCGCUCCAAGGCCCACUGUGGCGUUGUCUGGUUCCGGUACACUUCUGGACCCAGGUCCCCAGCCUGCUUGGUCUGCGGUAGCUUAGGUCGUCCUCCUCAUCACCUGACGUAUCUGUGGCUCUAUAGGCCCAGCUCACGUGCCUAUGACUGAUCACCUUUAUUGCGUUCCCUUUUACCUCAUCCAUCUCCGUGCAAGGAUUUAGUAUUUUGCUGAGGGGCCAGCGCUGUGGCGACAUGAAUGAAGGAAUGGUGAAUCUUGAUGGUCAAAUGCCUGAUUCCAUCACUACCUCCUUGUGGCAUGUAGACUUAGACCAUUUGUGCAACACUGAGGCCAAAUAGAAUUAAAAAAUAAAGUAUUAUCAAAACUAAAAUCAAGUGAGUGUUUUGUCUUUUGCCCAUCUUCUGAAAAA